CAUAUUUUGAUGAACUUCUCGCCAAGUCAUUCUUUCAAAAAUCUAUUGGAAGAAAAGGAUUAUGCUUUGUAAUGCAUGAUCUAAUACAUGAAUUGGCUCAACACGUGUCUGGAGAUUUUUGUGCUCGAGUGGAAGAUGAUGUUAAGUUACCAAAAGUAUCUGAGAAGGCUCACCACUUUGUGUACUUUAAAAGUGAUUUUACUGAGUUGGUUGCAUUUAAGAAUUUUGAGGUUAUCACUAGAGCUAAAUCUCUUCGGACAUUCUUAGAAGUGAAGUCAAUCGGAAACCUGCCUUGGUAUUAUUUGAGUAAAAGGGUUUUACAAGAUAUAUUACCAAAAAUGUGGUGUUUACGUGUGUUAUCAUUAUGUGCAUAUGCAAUAAUUGAUUUGCCUAAAUCGAUAGGUAAUUUGAAACAUUUGCGUUACUUGGAUUUGUCUUUCACAAUGAUUAAAAAUUUACCUGAAUCAAUAUGUUGUUUAUGCAAUUUACAAACGAUGAUGCUGAGAAAAUGUUCAAAACUCGAUGAAUUGCCUUCAAAGAUGGGAAAAUUGAUUAAUUUGCGCUAUCUUGAUAUUGAUGGAUGUGGUUCAUUGAGAGAAAUGUCAAGUCAUGGAAUUGGUCGAUUAAAAAGUUUACAAAGGUUGACUCAAUUUAUUGUGGGCCAAAACGAUGGAUUAAGAAUUGGAGAAUUGGGGGAGCUGUUAGAGAUUCGAGGAAAACUUUGUAUUUCAAACAUGGAGAAUGUGGUGAGUGUUAAUGAUGCAUCAAGGGCUAAUAUGAAGGAUAAAAGUUAUCUUGAUGAGUUAAUCUUUGAUUGGGGUGACGAGUGUACCAAUGGUGUUACACAAAGUGGUGCAACAACGCAUGAUAUACUCAACAAGUUACAACCUCAUCCAAAUUUAAAACAACUCUCCAUCACAAACUAUCCUGGUGAAGGAUUUCCAAAUUGGCUUGGAGAUCCUUCAGUGUUGAAUCUCGUGUCCCUUGAGCUUCGGGGUUGUGGCAAUUGCUCAACAUUGCCACCACUUGGACAGCUAACCCAGCUUAAAUAUCUGCAAAUCUCAAGGAUGAAUGGAGUAGAGUGUGUGGGUGAUGAGUUCUAUGGGAAUGCUUCCUUUCAAUUCCUAGAAACACUAUCAUUCGAGGAUAUGAAGAACUGGGAGAAAUGGUUAUGUUGUGGAGAAUUCCCUCGUCUCCAAAAGCUUUUUAUACAAAAGUGUCCCAAACUCACUGGGAAAUUACCAGAACAGCUUCUUUCAUUGGUGGAACUUCAAAUUCGUGAAUGUCCGCAGCUGCUUACGGCUUCACUCACAGUUCCUGCAAUUUGUCAAUUCAGGAUGAUGGAUUUUGGUAAACUGCAGUUGCAAAUGGCAGGUUGUGACUUCACAGCUCUUCAAACUUCAGAAAUUGAAAUUUUAGAUGUGUCUCAGUGGAGUCAACUUCCAAUGGCACCACACCAGCUCUCAAUUAGAGAAUGUGAUUAUGCGGAGUCUCUGCUAGAGGAGGAAAUCUCGCAAACCAACAUACAUGAUCUGAAAAUCUAUGAUUGUAGUUUUUCUAGAUCCCUGCACAAAGUUGGUUUACCCACUACACUGAAAUCACUAUUCAUCUCUGAGUGCUCGAAAUUAGCGUUUCCCCUACCUGAGUUGUUCAGAUGCCAUCUCCCAGUCCUUGAAAGUCUAAAAAUCAAACAUGGUGUUAUCGAUGAUUCUCUCUCGUUAUCCUUCUCAUUAGGCAUCUUCCCCAAGUUGACUCAUUUCACAAUCGAUGGUCUUAAGGGGCUUGAGAAGCUCUCGAUUUUGGUUUCAGAGGGUGAUCCCACAUCUUUAUGUUCCCUGUCUCUAGAUGCUUGCCCUGAUCUUGAAUCUAUCGAAUUGCACGCUCUCAACUUGGAGUCUUGUUCGAUUUAUAGGUGCUCCAAGCUCAGGUCGUUGGCACACAGACAGUCAUCUGUACAGAAGUUGAAUUUAGGGUCUUGUCCAGAAUUGUUGUUUCAGAGAGAGGGUUUGCCUUCCAACCUACGUAAACUUGGAAUUACCGAUUUCACGCCCCAGGUGGAGUGGGGUUUGCAAAGGCUGACCUCUCUUGCUCAUUUCACAAUCGAAGGUGGAUGUGAAGACAUUGAAUUAUUUCCCAAGGAGUGUUUGCUGCCCUCUUCUCUGGCUUCUCUUGAAAUUGAAUCAUUUCCCGAUCUCAAGUCUCUUGACAGUGGGGGUCUUCAACAGCUCACCUCUCUUCUAAAAUUAAAGAUCAGCCACUGCCCAGAGCUCCAGUUCUCGACAGGAUCGGUUCUUCAACACCUUAUCUCUCUAAAACGAUUAGAAAUUUAUGGAUGCUCGAGGCUCCAAUCAUUGACAGAAGCGGGUCUUCAACACCUCACCUCUCUUGAAAAAUUGGAGAUCGCAAACUGCCCAAUGCUCCAAUCCUUGACAAAAGUGGGUCUUCAACACCUCACCUCUCUUAAAACAUUAGGGAUCAAUAACUGCCGAAUGCUCCAAUCCUUGACAGAAGUGGGUCUUCAACACCUCACCUCUCUUGAAAGUUUGUGGAUCAAUAACUGCCCAAUGCUCCAAUCCUUGACAAAAGUGGGUCUUCAACACCUCACCUCUCUUGAAAGUUUGUGGAUCAAUAAGUGCCCAAUGCUCCAAUCCUUGACAAAAGUGGGUCUUCAACACCUCACCUCUCUUAAAACAUUGCGGAUCUAUGACUGUAGUAAGCUCAAAUACUUGACAAAAGAGAGACUUCCAGACUCCCUUUCUUAUCUGUUCAUCUACAAAUGUCCUGUACUGGAAAAACGGUGUCAAUUUGAGAAAGGGGAAGAAUGGCGUCAUAUAGCUCACAUUCCAACUAUAGAGAUCAAUGGUGUGCUAUAUUAAUCAAAGUGCCACUCCGCCAAUAUAGAGUCAGCAUGAGCAUAGAAGAUUUGUUAUGAUAAACAAAGUUUCAAUAAUGAGCAUGGAAGAAACAUGUAAGCUUGCAGUGAUUGGGCGUCCAUGUAAAAUGUGCUCUAACCAAGUGGACUUCUGCAAAAGGAAGUGGAAUAUGAAGAAAGAUAGAUUGUUCAGAUUUUCCCUGUAGAGGAAGGGAGAUUCCUGGGUGCUCAACACUUGAUGCUCACUGCUCUGUUCAAGAAGACUAAGAAACUCAGAGGAUCAGUUUCAGCCAUGUCAAAAGCAAAAGGAAAAGCUGAAGCUGAAGAUAUCAUGUAUAAAAACAGAGGAAUUUCCAUUGAAACUAGUCCAAAUGAUGGUACACUUUGUCACCCAGCUUCUUCAGAAAUUGCUGCUUGGCCCAUGGCAAGGUUAACAAUCCCCUCAACUGUGAAACAGUUUUUGAUGAGGUUGGCUAAUGAUCAAAUUCCACCAGUUCACUAUGAUUUAUACUGUAACAUGAUCAUACGUAUAAACCCUGAAGUUCUUAUAUAAAUGCUGAGAAUCUUCUAUUGGGCCCUAAUGGAUUAUGGAAGUUGUGUGAUUUUGGAAGCACCUCCACCAAUCAUAAGCACUUUAAGAAGCCUGAAUGGGCAUUGAAGAAGACAAUAUCAGAAAGUACAGUACACCUGCAUAUACAGCUCCCGAGGUUGAAUGGAAAACUAUGUUUUUUGAUAAGUUAGUGCUGACAUUUGGUUGAAAAAAUGUUGACUCCCAGGUUCUUCCUUUUCCUGUCCUAGAUGUGGGAAUUUGUUUAGGAGGAAACCUAUAAAUGAGAAAGUAGACAUUUGGCACAGAGAAAAGAUUGAAGCAACAGACUGGGAACUCCAGCAAAGAAAAUCCGUUUCCCCUGGCCCAGACUAAUCUUUGGCAGGCUUUCUCUGAGGCAGGUGCCCAGACAACAAUAGCAAGUCUGUUAGGACCCAAAAUGGCCAUCACAACAAACCAGCCACAGAAGGAACUUCUGGCCCUGAAACUUGGGGUUUUGGAACAGAGAGUUUUACAGCCACCCCUGCUGCCAGCUCUAAUAUUUCCAGACCCUCCAUUGGAGGCAAUAAUGCCCAGCUGUUUGUUGACUCAAAGAAGAUUGAGGGCAAGCUGGCUACUCAACCUGCUGAAUGGGCUGGUUUCUAACUUAUUUGGUGAGGUUAUAUCAUCCUGGGCACUUCUGGCCAUAAGAGAUGGGAAUAGGUAAAAAAGCAAAACAGAAAGGGAUUCAUGGCUUUCUGGGCAUGAUUAUGCUUGUAAGUAUUGAGUGUUUGCCUUAUGCAAUAGAAUACAACAUCUGCAUAAGUUCCCUGGUUUCCAUGGACUACUUACAAACUUGUACUGUUCUGAAUGCCUCGAUUUUCAGAAUGAAAGAAAACUCAACCCUCUCAUCCGUAAUUGAGAACCAUCUAAAGACUGGCCAUGGAAUAAGCUCAAGCCUUUCUGUACAGAGCAGCUGGACUCUCUCAAAUUUUUUAUUUGUAAAUAUCCAAAGCUAUGAGUUCAAAGUCAUUAAAUGUGGCAAUCCCCGUUGACCUCAAUAACAGCUUAAGGAGUGUGUUAGACUGUUACCAUUGAUCAAUUCAGUCCAAAAGGCAUUCCAUUCAGGGAAGAGGAAAUAGAAGAAAAUGGAAGCUCUUGAUGUAUUUUGAUUUUGAUCAAGGCUUUCUUGAUGUAUACUCUGAUGUUUUGCUCAGAUUAAUCCUGAUGAUUUUCUUAACUGGAAAGGUGACUUUUCCCAGUGAAGGAAUUGGAGAUUCCUGGGUGCUGAACUAUUGAUGUUCAUUGUUCUGUUCAAGAAGAACAAGAAACUGUGAGUAGAAGGUUCAUCACUUUAGAAUUAUCUUCUGAACAUUCUGAAAAAUAAUUUACUCAUCCGGGUUGAGCUCUAAAAUUAUGGUAAUGGUUAGAAUGCAAAGCCCUCUUCCAGAA